GCGGCCGGACUUGGCGAGCCUGGCGGCUGUGCACGGGCGCGGCGGGAAGGAGCGGGCGAGCCGGUGUGCGGCCAGCGGAGUCCGGUUGAAGGAUCCUUUGGAGUCUUAGAAUUUUUGGCAGUACCUUGAAGGGAUGGAAACUGUUCAUCUGGAGUUGGACUUGAGGAUGAACCAGGAGGCCCGGUGCUCAGCUGUAAUUUGAUGGGACUCCAUUUUGAAAUUUCUUUCUUGAUACUGGGGAUUGAACGUGGGACAUUGUGCAUAUGAAACUCAUGCUCUAUCACUCCCUGCC
rnacentral:lncRNA from 1 species